AUUUGAUGAUGUGGGCAUUUGGCAAGGAGGGCUAUGAAUCUUUUCCAAUAUUCAUACUAGCUUUCUCUAAUCACUUAUUGAAUACUGUAGAUCUAUUUCCUCAUUCU